GUUCAAGAAUGCAAAAGGAAGGUCAGAGAUUUUGCAGUGUGCAGUAAGAAAUUUUUUGCACUUGGCAUUGCCAAUUGUAUCUUACAGAAAAUUUCUAAUUCAUUUCAGAGCACUGAAGCUCAGCAUUCUACUCAGUUAUUGGUGACUGGAUUAAAUUUCCAGCAAAACUGUAUGAAAGGAGUCCUGAUAUCAAGAAAUUAACCCAUUAUAUUUACUGGAGACAUGUUGAAACACACAGCAAUGUCCUUCAUUAAACAAGGAGUGGCCUUAAAUAAGGGCAGCUACAUGGAUGGGACUGCCUUACUUUGAAGUACCAGAUAUCUUUUGCUCAUGAUCAGCACCAGAACAACAUUCCAAGCUGAACAAAAAUUACCAGACAUGGAGGAUUCCAGCUUACAAAUUUUACAGUUAAAUGUCUUGCUGUGAAUGCAUGGUCAGUAGAUGGAUUUGACUUAUGACAAACCUGAAAUGAUAGCAUGACAAUGUUGUUAUGGAAAUGCCUAACAUAUGAAGCCAUUUAACACGGUGCCUUCAGGAUGGAGUUUUUUCACCUCCUUUUGUGCCCAGGACCACAAAGAAGAAUGUUGCAGUUUAGGGUUAGAAAAACAAACAAACAGACCUGGUGAGGAGGACAAGGCAAAAAGAUCUGACAAUCCUUGGAUAGUUAGGAGUUUCCUGUUUUGCUGGUGAUUAUUAAAGAAACAAAAGCAAAAUAAAUAGAGGACAAUCAAACAAGAAAAU
ensembl:lncRNA